CCUACGGGUGGCAGCAGUGGGGAAUAUUGCGCAAUGGGCGCAAGCCUGACCCAGCAACGCCGCGUGCACGAAGAAGGCUUUCGGGUUGUAAACUUCUUUUCUCAGGGACGAAGAAAGUGAAGGUACCUUAGGAAUAAGCCACUGCUAACUACGUGCCAGCAGCCGCGGUAAUAAGUUGGUGGCAAACGUUAUACGGAUUUAUUGGGUGGAAAGGGCGUGUAGGCGGGAGCGCAAGUCAGAUGUGAAAACCCAGGGCUCAACCCUGGGCCUGCAUUUGAUACUUUGUUUCUUGAGUGCGGGAGAGGCAAGAGGAAUUCCGUGUGUAGCGGUGAAAUGCGUAGAUAUACGGAGGAACACCAGUGGCGAAGGCGGAUUGCUGGACAGUAACUGACGCUGAGGGGCGAAAGCGUGGGGAGCAAACAGGAUUAGAUACCCCGGUAGUC
rnacentral:rRNA from 1 species